UACGUAGGGUGCGAGCGUUGUCCGGAAUUAUUGGGCGUAAAGGGCGCGUAGGCGGUUUGACAAGUCUGAUGUGAAAUCUAUGGGCUCAACCCAUAGCCUGCAUUAGAAACUGUCGGGGCUUGAGUAUGGGAGAGGUGAGUGGAAUUUCCGGUGUAGCGGUGAAAUGCGUAGAUAUCGGAAGGAACACCUGUGGCGAAAGCGGCUCACUGGACCAUAACUGACGCUGAGGCGCGAAA
rnacentral:rRNA from 1 species